CUUUGAUCUGCGUCCUCAUCUGGACUCUCCUCUGCUGCUGCUUCACAGAGUCCAGAGGACAGAUCACAGUGACUCAGCCUGGAGCAGAGAGCUCUGCUGCGGGAGGAACUGUGAGCAACAAAUGUAGGACCAGUCAGGAUGUUUCUAAUUCUAACCGUUUAGCCUGGUACCAACAGAAAGAUGGAGGAGUUCCUAAACUGCUCAUUUAUGCUGCUAGCUAUCGAGCAUCAGGGAUUCCAGCUCGUUUUACAGGCAGUGGAUCAAACUCUGACUUCACUCUGACCAUCAGUGGAGUCCAGGCUGAAGAUGCAGCAGUUUAUUACUGUAUGGGUGAAUUUGAUUCUAACUCUUGGGAGCUCUUCACACAGUGAAUAACAGUCGUACAAAAACUUCCCUCAGUCAGACUGAACAGAAACUGCAGUAACUUCCAGCUGCAGCAGAGACUGACACAGUUCAAUGAGCACAAACACAAUUUCAUGAAGGCACUGAAUUUUUCAUCAUAUCACCUGAAAAUCAAAAGUUCACUCUUAAAUGAUUAUUAUGGUGGAAACUUCUUUCUACCCACUCAAAACUCAGGAAAUGUCAAACUGACACAGUUGUUUCUGUGAAUCUUUGAGCAGUUAGAAGAUGCUUGAUCAUGAACUUUGACCUCAGCUUCAUAAUGGAUCACAGACACACUGUCUUUAAAUAAAAGAAACAAAUCUCAACACUCAGUCACCCUGAAGCUCAACGAUUUCUGAAGAUUAUUAAAAUGAUUCGUUUUAAGAAAACAAAGACUGAUCUCAGUCAGUUCAGUGUCAGCGUGGUUCUCCAGGUGUCCCUUUAAUAAAUAAAUCCAAUUUUAAAGGGAAAAAUAAUUUUUUUAAUUCCAAAAAUCAAAUCCGUUUAAAGUAAAAUAUAUCCAGUUUUACAUUCAGCUCUUAUGAGACCAGAGUUUUUCAGUUUUUUCUCAUCUUCAUGUUCAGACAUCAAACAUUUGAAAGUGAGGCCUUUAGCCUGCAUGUUAGCAGCUUUCAGCCAAUCAGAGCAGAGUUCAGGAUGAAUAAAGUCCCUUAGUGCAUUAGUGUGAACUCAUCUGCCUUCUGCAAAGAGGACACCUUCUGUUCAUUUAGAUCAGCCACAGAAGAACUCAGGCACACAUUUCAUAAACAGCUUCACUAUCAUUAGCUCACACACUGAUGCUAAAUCAGUAGCAUUUCAAGCCAAGCAGCCAUCAACAAGAAUUCCUGUCACUCCGCUGAAGUCAGAAUUAGUCUCAUGUGAUGUUUUCUUUAGGCUUCCAAAUUUCUGUUGAUAAGCUCAUAAGUUCACACAAUUCUACCUUUGAGUCCGCCCAGGAGUCUUGAUAAAGUAAUAUGUUCUGUUGGUACUGUUGGUUGCGCUCUUUCUCCUUUCUUUCUCCGUCUCCCUGUGUGUUUAUGUUUGUUUGCACUCCCGGAUUUUUUGGGUCGCCGGAGGGAUCACGACCCCGGAAGUGUUCCCACGGUGGAGGCAGCCACACCUGCCGCUCGUUACUGGCAGCCGGCUGCAGCAGAUUACGCUCAUCGGGAGUGCGGUAUUUAAGUGUGUGGAUCCAGUCGGUGUGGGGUUCUUAACAACAAAAACUGUUGAGUGCAACUGUAGACAAGCUAGUGGGAAUGACCUCGCUACUGUGGAUUCCCUGCUGAGCUGUUUUGUCUGUUUGCCACCAGGAAUCGGGAGCCGAGUCCCGGAUUGGAAUUGGGGUUUUUGGAGUUGUCACUUUUCACUGUUUAUGGACACUUGCACUGUGUGUGGAUUCAGCGAGAAUCGCCACGAGAGCCACAGUGCUGAAUUCUGGACAUUAUUGUGGUUUUUUCACUCACUGUUCACCUGCACCCGAGUCCUGCAUUUGGGUCCUCCUUUUCCACAACUCCACAUCUGUCAUCACAGUCCGUGACAUUGAUGGGAUGUUAAAAACAGAUCAUGUAUUCAUAUUACUUAUUGAGGAAACAAUAAGUGUGCGUCUGAGCUGAUUGGAAGGUAGAAAACUAGAUUAGAGGCAGAUUAGAAACUAGAAAGGAUUGGGGUAGUGAAAUUAAUUUUUUAAUUACCUCUGUAAAUGUCACGGCCGGAGGGAUCGACGAGACGCUGAUCGGCCUUUUCUGUCUUUCUCUCUCUCUCGUGCUCUCUCUCUCUCCUCCUCUCUGUCGCCGGGGCGGAACUCAUUGUGGGUUCACGCCCUCGGCCCACGCCCACGGAGAAGAACACACCUGACGCCCAUCUAGGUGAACGGCAUUUAAGCCAGGAGGUGACUGCUGGUCUUUGCUGGAUUGUUGUCUGCCACGUACCUCCUGGAUUACCCCUCUCGUAUGAAUCUGUGUGUCAAGUGUGAAAGAAGAGGACUGCCGUCAUGUAUGUGGAGAGUUGGAGAACGAGUGAUUUUCCCCCUUGGAUUUCCCUGGAGCCCGUCCCUCACAUUUCUGUAUAUAGCACUACCCUGCACUCUCUGUAUAUACACCUUGGUGACCUCUGUAAAUAAAUCCUUGUGUUCAGCUGAUUCAGGAGUUCCGCGUUUGAGUCCCCUGCAUUGAACCUUAACAGUAAAUCCUUCCCCUCACAUUCGUCUGGAAUAAUCAGGCCCCAUCUCAUCUAAAUGAACCCAUAGCAUCAUAUCACCCCAUUAGAGCACUUCGCUCUCACACUGCAGGCCUACUUUUUGUUCCUAGAGUAUUUAAAAGUAGAAUGGGAGGCA